GUAUCAGCCACUGUAUGCAGCCCCCUGCUCUUAAAUAGAGCCUCAUGAGAGAAACAGUCCCCUUCCCAGCUGUGGACAUAGUUACGUGAGGAUGUGAUAGAGGCUGUGACAUGCUGAGAAAUACAGCCAACCUGCUGCAGAUGGCAGAGAAAAAGAACUUGACCCUUAAUGACAUUCCUGAGCCAUUCACAACACUGUUGGCUGAUUGUGGAGGCUAAAGCAACUCUACCUUGCCAGCUUAUCCACCAUGUGGACUUCUAAUUAAUCUCAGUUGCCGGAAUGCCUCUAAGAUUUCUACGUUAUCUACUGUGAAGAGCAAGUAAUUACUGCAAAUCCUGCCCUUGGGUCAAAACAACCUUGAUGACAUAUUCCUUCUGAAGCACAUAUACUCUUUCCCUAGCUGCCUGCCCUGCAGACUUCAGGCUCCAGCAUCAGACACAGAGACCCAGCGUUAUGGAGACUGUCUAACCAGAUCUCACAAUUGUGGAAGAUCCCAACUCCUACAGAAAUCUCUUAAAAACCACGUGUGGCUGGGCACAGUGGCUCAUGUAUGUAAUUCCAGCACUUUGGGAGGCUGAGGUGAGUGGA
rnacentral:lncRNA from 1 species